ACAUGACACUAAGUGAAGGAAACCAGGCAGAGACAGACAAAUAUUGUAUGUUAUCACUUAUUUGUGGAAUCCAAAAAAGUUGAACUCCUAGA